CCUGGGAGGCGGCGUCGGCGGGGCUCUCAGAGGUGCGUCGUCUGCUACAGUGAGGAGAGACCAUUGGCUGUCAGCUGCUGUCAUGAGGGCAGGCUGUCACUCUCUGCUGGCAAUAUGCUCAGGCUAGGCAACAAGAAGGACCACGGGGUUGACUACAAGUGCACCAUAAGGCUGCUGGACGACAAUGAGGUGUUGGAAUGCGAGUUUCAGAGUUAUCACAAAGGCAGAGUUCUGCUUGACUAUGUAUUCAACAGACUAAACCUCAUCGAGACUGACUACUUUGCAUUGCGAUAUGUUGACCAAAAUAAGCAGAGACACUGGUUAGAUCCAAACAAGAAUAUCUUAAGGCAAAUAAAAAAUUUAUCCCCUAUACUCUUCUGUUUUCGCGUCAAAUUCUAUCCAGCUGACCCUCUAAGACUCCAGGAAGAAAUAACUCGAUAUCAGCUGUUUCUGCAACUCCGGCGAGACCUCUUACAUGGGAGAUUAUACUGUUCCCAAGCAGAUGCCGCCUGUUUGGCUGCAUACAUUGUUCAAGCUGAGAUUGGGGACUUUGACCCACAAAAGCACUAUGGCAACUACAUCAGUGAUUUUAAGAUACUACUCAAGCAGACCCCUAAGAUGGAAGAGAAGAUCAUGGAGUACCACCCAACCCUCAAGGGCCAGACCCCCCUCAUGGCAGAGACGUGCUUUCUCAAAAAAGCCUCUCUUCUCGACACAUACGGCGUUGACCCUCAUCCUGUCAAGGAUCACAGAGGAAGCCAGCUGUACCUUGGCCUCAACCACACUGGGGUGCUGACGUUCCAGGGCUCUCGCAAGACACACCAUUUCCGCUGGGCUGACAUUCAGAAGCUGAAUUACGAGGGGAAGAUGUUCAUCGUGCAUCUUAUAUUCUCAGAGAAGAAGCACACCGUAGGCUUCAAAUGUCCAACAGCAUCUGCCUGUAGACACCUUUGGAGAUGCGCGGUGGAGCAGAGGCUAUUUUACACGCUAGAAAACUCUAACAAGCAGGGUGUGGUGGUGACUGGAGGGUCAUUCUUCUCACGAGGGUCUCGGUUCCGAUAUGCAGGCCGCUGUGAGAAGGAGGUGGUUGAGGAGAGCUCCACCAUCAUCCGUGAACCCCCAACUGUCAAUAGAAUUUCCCUAAGGACUAUCGGCAGGUCCACAUCCCUACCAACGACACCUGCUGAUUCUGACACUUACGAUGCUGUCAUGAGUCGCGUCCAUCGUCCACUCCCUUACAUCGACCGAAGCAGCAGUCUGGAUGAGGAUGUGUUGUGUGGGGCCGACACAGGUUCUCAGGACUCAACUGAAGGCUUAAACCACAUAAAUGGUGGUUGUGGAGGCCCCGGAGCCGCCUACUGCCCUGAGUCAACCCUUCCCCCCUUAUCUCUGCUGGAGCCCUUGUUAGAAGCCCAGGAAAACAAGUCACGCUCCUUCCUCCAUCCUCGACUCCAGCUUUCUGGACGCUGAGAGUAAUCUUGAGCCAGGCUCGGACCCCAAAGGGAAGCAGGAGGAGGACCACAGGAGUAAAGACAGAAACGUAGGAGAAAACAGUAAAGACGUGAAAGCCAAGGGGGAGGAAGCCAUGCUACAGCAGCAGCUCUUCUAUGAUUACAACGGCCGUGGCCACGCCAGUGAAUUUGGUGACACCUCAUCCACAGAGACUUUGGGCCCGCACAACAUGGGUGAGCCUGACCUCCCACCUCGAGACAAGGAUGUAGGUAGUAGUGGUGGCCAACACCACAUGAGCAGAAGCCCCACCAGAAAGGGGAAGGAGCCACUGCGGAGAGAGAAGUUGGAGAUUGCGCCUCUGUCCUUGCCUCCAGAUCUUACCAGGGGAGGUGCACAGAGGCUGCUUAGGGGUCGGAUAACAAGGCUUAGUCUAAAGACUUUUCUUAGGGUGUUUCUUGUAGCUUUUGUCUUUGUAGUAUUUGCCCUUACUUGCUCAGUGAUAUUUAUUUUUGAAAGUGAGUCCAGCCUCUUGCAGGGUCUUCGAUCCACACGAGAAAUGAUGCUCCUCAGGAUUCAGUAUUAUCAGCCUCUGAAGGAUCAUAUGAAAAGUUGGCUAGGAAAAAAGUCUUGAAUUUAUAUAUUACAAUUAAACUGUAUUACUUUGAGUUCAGCUCUAAAGUUGGACAUUAUGCAUCGCUUUGUGAGUGCAUGUCUGUCACAGUAAAAGUACUGCAUGGCAUCUCAUGUGCAGGACCAACUCUUAGAGCGUCUAUUGUAAGUUGUUGAAAAAUAAGUGAGUAAAUGUCAGGGGGACCUGACAUUCAUCUCAGCAAUGUUGUACCAGCAUCUUUUCUGUGCUGAAGGAUAGUGAUAAUUGUUAUUUUUUCAGCUAUGUACACAAAGUUUAGAAGAGAAUAGGGUGUGGUUGACAUUAUUACAAAGGGUUUCAUGAAACUGGCUCAGUUCAUGAAGAGUAGGACAUUUCACUGAAUUUUUACAGUACAAGUCUGUAAAGUACUUUUUGUGCUCAAUAUCUCUUACUCUUUUAUUGAGUUGGAAUAGCACUAUUGUGUAACACAGAGCAUAUUAAAGAGGUACUUUUUCAAGUUUCCUAUAAAAGUAUGGUUUAAGAAUACGAACGGGAUUAUCUCCCUCCCUCUAUUUCAGCUUCUGCUCUUAAUUACAUUUCCAUCUCUUUUUCCUCUUUCUCCUCUUGGGUAAAUGGUUCAAGAUUCAGCUUUAUGUCACUGUGAAGACAAAGGCUUAUUACUAAUAAUGCUUUUCAGUGACCUGCCUGGUGGACUUUUACCUCAUACUUCUUUUAUAACAGGCAACUGUCUCUUUAUAUUAUAUUCUCAUUGUGUGAAAUAACACAUUGGCUAGACUCCACAACUGGGCACUGAAAUGGUUAUGCAUCUUACCAGCCUUAGUAAUGUUUUGUGCUGGAGGUUGAGUUUUCCAAUGAAUUUGAGUUUGCAGAGUUGAGUGAAUUUGUAAAUAUGUUUUUUUCUCUGUACCCAACUUUCAAAGAUUGGUGUUGAUUAAGGAGCAAAUAAAGGUAGUUUGCAAACAAACAAACAGGAAACAAAAAUGGGUUUGAUAUACAGUAUAAGUCUAGUUUGAUAAUAUAAAAUUACAGGUAUCAUAACCACAAAUGUGUAACAGAUCUCAAAUAUCACAAUAAUCAUUAGUAUGAUUUCUGGAAAUUUGCUUAAUUUUUCUAUAAUCUUUCC